rnacentral:rRNA from 1 species
UACAGAGGGUGCGAGCGUUGUCCGGAAUCACUGGGCGUAAAGGGCGCGUAGGUGGUGGCUUAAGCGUGCGGUGAAAGCUCGGGGCUCAACUCCGAGUCGGCCGUGCGAACUGGGCUCACUGGAGCAUAGUAGAGGCAGGUGGAAUUCCGGGUGUAGCGGUGGAAUGCGUAGAGAUCCGGAAGAACACCGGUGGCGAAGGCGGCCUGCUGGGACGUGACUGACGCUGAGACGCGAAAGCGUGGGGAGCGAACAGG